rnacentral:misc_RNA from 1 species
AAGUCGUAACAAGGUUUCCGUAGGUGAACCUGCGGAAGGAUCAUUAUUGAAAUAAACCUGAUGGGUUGUUGCUGGCUCUCUAGAGAGCAUGUGCACGCCUUGUCAUCUUUAUAUUUCCACCUGUGCACUUUUUGUAGACCCUUUCAGGUCUAUGUUGCUUCAUUUACCCCAAUGUAUGUUAACAGAAUGUUGUGACUAUAUAACAUAUACAACUUUCAGCAACGGAUCUCUUGGCUCUC